AUACGUAGGUGGCGAGCGUUGUCCGGAAUUACUGGGCGUAAAGGGCGCGUAGGCGGCCAAUUAAGUCAGAUGUGAAAACCCCAGGCUUAACUUGGGGAGUGCAUUUGAAACUGGAUGGCUAGAGUGUCGGAGAGGGAAGCGGAAUUCCUAGUGUAGCGGUGAAAUGCGUAGAUAUUAGGAGGAACACCAGUGGCGAAGGCGGCUUUCUGGACGAUAACUGACGCUGAGGCGCGAAAGCGUGGGGAGCAAACAGGAUUAGAUACCCUGGUAGUCCACGCUGUAAACGAUGGAUACUAGGUGUGGGAGGUAUCGACCCCUUCCGUGCCGCAGUAAACGCAAUAAGUAUCCCGCCUGGGGAGUACGGCCGCAAGGUUGAA
rnacentral:rRNA from 1 species